AUUGAACGCUGGCGGCAGGCCUAACACAUGCAAGUCGAGCGGAUGAUGGGAGCUUGCUCCCGGAUUCAGCGGCGGACGGGUGAGUAAUGCCUAGGAAUCUGCCUGGUAGUGGGGGACAACGUUUCGAAAGGAACGCUAAUACCGCAUACGUCCUACGGGAGAAAGCAGGGGACCUUCGGGCCUUGCGCUAUCAGAUGAGCCUAGGUCGGAUUAGCUAGUUGGUGGGGUAAAGGCCUACCAAGGCGACGAUCCGUAACUGGUCUGAGAGGAUGAUCAGUCACACUGGAACUGAGACACGGUCCAGACUCCUACGGGAGGUAGCAGUGGGGAAUAUUGGACAAUGGGCGAAAGCCUGAUCCAGCCAUGCCGCGUGUGUGAAGAAGGUCUUCGGAUUGUAAAGCACUUUAAGUUGGGAGGAAGGGCAGUAAGUUAAUACCUUGCUGUUUUGACGUUACCAACAGAAUAAGCACCGGCUAACUUCGUGCCAGCAGCCGCCGUAACAC
rnacentral:rRNA from 1 species